UACGUAGGGUGCGAGCGUUGUCCGGAAUUACUGGGCGUAAAGAGCUCGUAGGUGGUUUGUCGCGUUGUCCGUGAAAUUCCCGGGCUUAACUGGGGGCGUGCGGGCGAUACGGGCAGACUGGAGUACUGCAGGGGAGACUGGAAUUCCUGGUGUAGCGGUGGAAUGCGCAGAUAUCAGGAGGAACACCGGUGGCGAAGGCGGGUCUCUGGGCAGUAACUGACGCUGAGGAGCGAAAGCGUGGGGAGCGAACAGG
rnacentral:rRNA from 1 species